UACAUUGUAUGCAGCUGGACACAGGGAAACAGAUUCUCCAGUUCCCUCCCUGGUAGCCUCAGCCUUUGGGUAGCGCCCUCUGCUGGCCACUGUGAGGUGUAGGAAGGAACUAGAGUCCUGCAGAAUCGCUCAGAAGGUCUGGGAAAGGGACAAGAGAAACCAGUGGAAACCUGGAGCUUAGAGAACCAACCUGCCAGCCAUGCAGAGCAGUCAUGACAAAGCCUUCCUGAAGCAUGGAGCUUGGGGCCAGGUCUCCAUGGGCCUAAUGGCAAGACAGGGCUUAGGACACCCCAGAAGUGACCCUCCUGUGUGCCCAGCCCUGCCCCUUUCCUGGAUGAUUCACAUGCCCCAGAAGGCCCCUGUGCCCUGCCGGGUAGGGGUUGAGGGGCUUUCCCUGUCACCCUCCACUGCGACUGGGAGGAGCAGCUCUGGCUGGGAGCCUGAACCUACAAGAGAAGGCGACCCCGGACUGACAAGUGGCUGCCCCACCCCACUUCACAGAUGCCCAUGUCCCUGGCACUUGAGGUGGGGUUGGAGCCUGAGUCAGCUUGGCAGGAGCCUGCCCAGUCCCAGGACAGGCCAGCUCGUCCAGAGGUGAGGCCUGGGUCAGUACCAUCACCUGCCUCCUGAUGCCAGCCACCCCUCAGGACCCAGACCGGACCACCAGACUUCCCAGGGGCAAGGACCGAGGCCCAAGGGGGAAUCCAGGCCCCAGAGCUUUAACUGGAGGUUACCUGAACCCUCUGAAGAUGUGGUCUGCUUAUUAUCACCCUGUCCAUCCACAUUCCUACCCACUGGGCCUGAUGGAAGAAGCGGGAAACCAAGGCACAGGACGGUACACAACUCCCCAAGGGUCACACAGCCACUCGGGAUCCAACCUCGAGGAAACGACUGCAGCACUGGGAAUCCAACUCGGGACCUCGAGCUUGCCAGGCAGGUGCUGCGCUGCUGUCUCCCCGGCCCAACCCCGUUUUCUGUGUGUGUUCACAGAGAUGUUUCUACAUCCGCAGGAAAUAAAUGACUCCACUGAGCACAGUCAUGUUUUACUUUACAAAGCUGCCCUGCAACCCCCUUUCUCCCGCUCCGCAGCCAUCAGAGGGCGGUGCUGUAUCUGCUCACACCCUGCUGUCCUUUUGGAGCUGCUUGUGUUGGGUCCCGUGGAGCAGGGGACUUUGUUUAUUCACCUGUGCCCAGUUCUCAGACUGCACAGGCCUCUGGGUGCCCUCUGGGUCCAGCGAGGCUGCCUGGGAAGGGCAGAGCUGUCUCUCUCUUCUGUCCCCCACUGA
rnacentral:lncRNA from 1 species